rnacentral:rRNA from 1 species
UACGAAGGGGGCUAGCGUUGCUCGGAAUCACUGGGCGUAAAGCGCACGUAGGCGGCUUUCUAAGUCAGGUGUGAAAUCCUGGAGCUCAACUCCAGAACUGCCUUUGAUACUGGGAAGCUCGAGUCCGGAAGAGGUGAGUGGAACUCCGAGUGUAGAGGUGAAAUUCGUAGAUAUUCGGAAGAACACCAGUGGCGAAGGCGGCUCACUGGUCCGGUACUGACGCUGAGGUGCGAAAGCGUGGGGAGCAAACAGG